rfam:Stegodyphus mimosarum contig44970, whole genome shotgun sequence.
AUACAGGUUUUAUUCAAAACCAUCGCCAAUCUACAAUUGCUUUCUUG